rnacentral:lncRNA from 1 species
GAAAGGAAUUGUGAUGCAGAACAGACGUAUUUAAAACCUCGUUUUUUCCUCGGACGAUAGGUGAGUGGAAUGCGCUCACCGCCAGUACAGCGGAAUGCCCGACCGUCCAGUCAUUCUCCAACAUGCUGAAUAGCAUUUAGACGCUAUAUUAUGUGUGUGCAUAUGUACAUG